rnacentral:tRNA from 1 species
GGGAGCGUUUGAGUCCCGGUGGGCUUCGCGGACUUCAACUCCGUCGUGAGGCAUCAGAAAUGUCUCUGGUGGGUUCGACUCCCAUACGCUCCCGCCA